rnacentral:tRNA from 1 species
GGCCUGCUAGCUCAGUCGGUUAGAGCGUCGUGCUAAUAAAGCGAAGGUCGUAGGUUCGAUCCCUGCGCAGGCCA